rnacentral:rRNA from 1 species
AUUGAACGCUGGCGGCAGGCCUAACACAUGCAAGUCGAGCGGAUGAAGGGAGCUUGCUCCUGGAUUCAGCGGCGGACGCGUGAGUAAUGCCUAGGAAUCUGCCUGGUAGUGGGGGAUAACGUCCGGAAACGGGCGCUAAUACCGCAUACGUCCUGAGGGAGAAAGUGGGGGAUCUUCGGACCUCACGCUAUCAGAUGAGCCUAGGUCGGAUUAGCUAGUUGGUGGGGUAAAGGCCUACCAAGGCGACGAUCCGUAACUGGUCUGAGAGGAUGAUCAGUCACACUGGAACUGAGACACGGUCCAUACUCCUACGGGAGGCAGCAGUGGGGAAUAUUGGACAAUGGGCGAAAGCCUGAUCCAGCCAUGCCGCGUGUGUGAAGAAGGUCUUCGGAUUGUAAAGCACUUUAAGUUGGGAGGAAGGGCAGUAAGUUAAUACCUUGCUGUUUUGACGUUACCAACAGAAUAAGCACCGGCUAACUUCGUG